UAUUGGUCAAUGGGCGGAAGCCUGAACCAGCCAUGCCGCGUGCAGGAUGACUGCCCUAUAUUUUGUAAACUGCUUUUGUCCAGGAAUAAACCUAGAUACGUGUAUCUGGCUGAAUGUACUGGAAGAAUAAGGAUCGGCUAACUCCGUGCCAGCAGCCGCGGUAAUACGGAGGAUCCGAGCGUUAUCCGGAUUUAUUGGGUUUAAAGGGUGCGUAGGCGGCCUGUUAAGUCAGGGGUGAAAUACGGUGGCUCAACCAUCGCAGUGCCUUUGAUACUGACGGGCUUGAAUCCAUUUGAAGUGGGCGGAAUAAGACAAGUAGCAGUGAAAUGCAUAGAUAUGUCUUAGAACUCCGAUUGCGAAGGCAGCUCACUAAGCUGGUAUUGACGCUGAUGCACGAAAGCGUGGGGAUCGAACAG
rnacentral:rRNA from 1 species